CGCGCACCAUAUACAAUGUUCGAAUUGAAAUUUGAUGUAUCGCGAAUCCGAUCUAGUAAAUUAUUGAUAUCAUUGAUCAGAGGUCACCUCUGCGGUCGAGUUAGAAGGCGUAGAUUCUUAUACUCUUCUAUCAAAGGUCUGUUUUGGUCUUCGCUGAAAAGGAUGUAUAGAUAACUCUACGAUGUAAUAUUAGAAAAGGGUAAGAAAAUUUGAAGCAAGAAAUACUAAAAUCAAUACAGGCAGAGUAAAUUAUAAGUGUCUUUAUCCUACGAAAUCGAAUCUCUGAUACACAUAUGCAACACAUCAAAUUUUAAUAUGUACGUAAGUAUAUAUUUGAUAGAUCAGCAACAUUUUUCGUUUACUUGGCAAUUCUGUAAAAUACAUUUUCAACGAGGAUAGUUUUGGCUAGUGUAGAUUGUAGAUAUUUGGCGCUUUGCCAACUCAAUAGAAUCUCGAAAACUCAGUCUUCCUUAAAAUACAUUUCUAUUUCAGUAACAUGAAAGUCAUUGAUAAUACCAAAAGUUAGUUUACAUACUUCCAACGCUACCUGCGUGUGAGAAUAUCGUCAUAAUUUGUAAAUUAAAAAAAAAAUGUCAAUCUAUUUUCAGUUUCUAUUUUCGAAAAUCUCUCACAAAAUCGACAAAACAUCAUCGAUAGAUACUGUUUUUAUUCCUUCUUUUUCUACUCAUUCAUUUCUUCUCUCCCUUUUUCAUAGACAGAUUAUAAUUGUCUGUGAUAAAUUACUAAUAUUACCCCUUAUAAAAAAAGAUUUAUCAUAUCUCGCUUAUUACUUUAUGUAUUCUCUAUAUGUCAACUAUUAUAAUAUACAGUUCGAAAAUAAUUAUCUUGAAUUAGUUGGGAUAUUUUUAUUUUGAAGAUAACGAUAAUAUUCCGGGAACGGAAACUCCCGUUAUCGUUAGAAGUGCACUAUAUGGAUUAUAUGCAUGUAGUGAUGUACUGUCAUAUCAAAUGAUUUUCUUUAGCAACUUUUAUCUUUCUAAUCAUUUCUUCUAAUCAUUUCCAUUAUUAUAAUCCUAAUGAUCCUUUAUAAUUCUUUAUAAUCCUUACUAAAUUACGUGAUGUUAACUGAUCAUUCCUUAUCAAUUAUCACUUAAUUCCUACCAAUAAAACUCCAUACGAGAAAUUUCAUCAUAUUUUCUCUAAUAGCUCUAAUAAAGAUAUGAUUAAAUGCAUUAGAAACAAAAAUUAAGAAUUAAAGAUUAGAAUUACUUGGAAAAUAGAUAUUACGUGAAAGAUGUAAUAUCUAUUUAUUACGAUUAUAUAUAGAUUACAUGUUUUAAUCAUAAAUGAAAUUUGUAAUAAAACAUUACAAGAAUAUAAUAAGACAUUAUCAAUAUCUCGAAUUUCGAGUUUGAUUUGAGUGUUAAAUAAACAGGUUUUCUAAGCAUUUCCAAUGAAUUUUCAUUUUUAUAUGACUGGUAGAACGGUUAGUCGUCUUUACACACACGUAGAUGUGCAUACAUACAGUCAUACGCAACGUCGAUGAUUCGACAUUCACCGAUGUUAACGAUCGAUAAUUUAUAUCCCAUUUCCCAUUUAAGAUUAUACCAUUCACUUAAUGUCUCCAUUAAGUGUUUCACUGCACGAACAAAAUGUUUACAAGAGAGAUUUUUAUGUUUUUACAUAUGUUGAUCUAUAUACUAUAUCAUACUUAAACAAUAUAUCCAAUAAAAAUAAUACUUCUUUGGACUAAAUUAAGCUAGUUAUUCACCAUUAGUCUUGUUCACGUGUAUGCAAUCCGAAGUAAAACAACUUAGUAAAUUAAAUAGAAAUAAUGAAACGAGCCUUCUUUGUC